UGGCUCUCGCAUCGAUGAAGAACGCAGCGAAAUGCGAUAAGUAAUGUGAAUUGCAGAAUUCAGUGAAUCAUCGAAUCUUUGAACGCACCUUGCGCUCCUUGGUAUUCCGAGGAGCAUGCCUGUUUGAGUGUCAUUAAAUUCUCAACCUCUCUAGUUUUCUGAACUAGUAGAUGGCUUGGAUGUGGGGGUUUUUUGCAGGCUUUCACAAGUCAGCUCCCCUAAAAUGCAUUAGCCGGUACCUUCUAACCGUCUAUUGGUGUGAUAAUUAUCUACGCCGUGGACUUUGAAGCUGUGCUGCUUACAAUCGUCCUGCAUUGGACAAUUUAUGACAUUUUGACCUCAAAUCAGGUAGGACUACCCGCUGA
rnacentral:misc_RNA from 1 species